rnacentral:rRNA from 1 species
UACGAAGGGGGCUAGCGUUGCUCGGAAUCACUGGGCGUAAAGGGUGCGUAGGCGGGUCUUUAAGUCAGGGGUGAAAUCCUGGAGCUCAACUCCAGAACUGCCUUUGAUACUGAGGAUCUUGAGUUCGGGAGAGGUGAGUGGAACUGCGAGUGUAGAGGUGAAAUUCGUAGAUAUUCGCAAGAACACCAGUGGCGAAGGCGACUCACUGGCCCGAUACUGACGCUGAGGCGCGAAAGCGUGGGGAGCAAACAGG